rnacentral:lncRNA from 10 species
CCGAAGGACCGGGAGGCGGUGGCUCGGCCCGAAUCGCCGUGAAGAAAGCGCAACUACGCUCCGCUCCGCGGGCCAAGAAACUGGAGAAACUCGGAGUGUACUCCGCCUGCAAGGCCGAGGAGUCUUGUAAAUGUAAUGGCUGGAAAAACCCUAACCCCUCACCCACUCCCCCCAGAGCCGACCUGCAGCAAAUAAUUGUCAGUCUAACAGAAUCCUGUCGGAGUUGUAGCCAUGCCCUAGGCUGAUGUGCAGUGGUGCGAUCUCAGCUUACUGCAACCUCCCCCUCUUGGGCUCAAGCGAUCCUUUCACUUCAGCCUCUCGAGUAGCUGGGACCACAGACAUGCAGCAACAUGCCCAGCUAAUUUUUUUUUUUUGUAUCUUUGGUAGAGACGGAUUUUGUUAUAUUGCCUGGGCUGGUCUCAAACUCCUGAGGUCAAGCGAUCUGCCCACCUCGGCCUCCCGAAGUGCUGGGAUUACAGCUACCGCACCCUUCAUCAUCUUUUUCUGAUAUAUGUGUAUAUAUAUGUAUAUAUAUAUGUACACAUUCAGCAGUGGGAACUGACUGUUUUUUGUCACUAUAGAUUCCUUGCUUUUCUGCUUGUUUACAGUAGGGAAUUUCUUUUCUGUUAACUUUUAAAAUUUUGAGUUAGGCAGACCCCUCACCCUACAACCAGAAUUGAUUCAAAGAGACUCCCAGAGCUUUUUUUUUUUUUUUGAGAAGGAGUCUCACUCUGUUGCCCAGGAUGGAGUGCAGUGGCGCGAUCUCCACGAUCUCAGCUCACUGCAACUUCCGCCUCCCAGGUUCAAGCAAUUCUCCUGCCUCAGCUUCCCAGGUAGCUGGGAUUACAGGCUUAUACCACCACACCCAGCUAAUUUUUAUAAUUAUUAUUAUUAUUAUUUUUUAGUAGAGAGUGGAUUUUGCCAAGUUAGCCACGCUGGUCUCAAACUCCUGAUCUCAGGUGAUCCACCCGCCUCGGCCUCUCAAAGUGCUGGGAUUACAGGCAUGAGCCACCACACCUGGCCUCUUUUUUUUUUUUUUUUUUUUGCCACAGAGUCUGGCUCUGUCACCCAGGCUGGAGUGCAAUGGUGCAAUCUCGGCUCACUGCAACUUCUGCCUCCCAGGUUCAAGCUAUUCUCCUGCUUCAGCCUCCCAAGUAGCUGGGAUUACAGGCACCCACCACCAUGCCCGGCUAAUUUUUGUGUUUUUAGUAGAGACGGGUUUUAUCAUGUUGACCAAGCUGGUCUCAAACUCCUGACCUCAGGUAAUCUGCCCGCUUCAGCCUCCCCAAAUGCUGGGAUUACAGGCGUGAGCCACCGCUUCUGGCCUGAGACUCCCAGAGAUUUUUAAGGAAGGUCAAGAGUUAGCUUUAACAAUCACACUAGAGCUUACUUCUUGAGUAUUAUGAAGAAAAUACCAGUAUUUUUCUCAUGGAUAUUUCAAGUAUUUAAAUCAUUUAGGCAGAUCAUUUGACUCAACACAUUUUCUUUGAUCAUACGACAUUUGCAUAGACUUGUACCAUAUAAUUGCCCCCUCAGUUCCCAUUUAUACAUGUACUGUGCAGAUGCCAAAGGACGUAAACAUGGGGCCCAGCUAGCACAAUGACACAGCCUCCUGAAUUGAGCCAGCAUAUUCCUCUUGGCUGGAUGUCCACUGCUGGCUAAUGCAGCCUUUCAGAUGCCGGUUUCAGAGUUUUCAGGAGCUGUGGGUCGGGCACAGCAGGAGUUAAGGGGAUAAUACUGGUAAUAUUUUCUCUGCUCAUUUGGUAUAAGUUAUGUCUCCCUGACGUCCUCUGGUCAUGAAAUCCUGUUUGAUACUCCCUUCAAGUUCCUGCCUCUAGCACUGGCUGAAUUUAGGCUUUUCCUCAUUAUUCCUUGCCUGUGUCUGCUGCAGCUUCUGGAGUUCUUAUUUCCAUUCCUGCAUACCUGGCUUUCCCAUAAAGUGAUGAUACAAUGUGAUCCCAUUCUCCUGCUUAACCCCUCUGAGCUUCUCAUUAUCCUCAGAGUGAAGGGUGAUCUGUAGUUGAGCAAGCAGGUUCAGUUCAUUGAGGCCUCUUUAUUUUCAAAGCUUUUCUCCAAUUAUCUUCAUUGCAUUUUGGCCAUCAGGCUGCUCCAUGUUCUCCAAAGGUUCUUUGAACUUUCUCCCACCUCUGCCUUAGAUCUGGAAGCUCACACCACCUUCAAUGCCUUUCCUUCAUUUUCUGCCAGGGAAUUCUGCUUAUCCUCCAAGGCUUGACUGCAGAACUCUGUAGAGAGAAUAAAGGCCUUCUUAGAGCUCUGUGGCAAUGUUCCUUCUUAUAUAACUAUAAUUAUAUACCAAUCUGUACUGAACUGUGAUUAAGAGUUGACUUUUUCUCUAGUUUGUAAUAUAUUUAGUUCGUUGUGCAUAAUUGUGCUUAUUCUUUUGUUGGUAAAUAGUCAUUGAAUUCAAUAAUGGUAAAAUGAGGGCUGGUUGCAUAUAUUUGCAGAGGAGCUUUCAAAGUUUAUAAUCUAUACCUGCUGUGUCCAACACAGUAGCCACUAGCCAUGUGUGGCUAUUGAACACUUGCAAUUUCACUAGUUUGAAUUGUGCUGUAAGCGUGAAAUGCACACAGGUUUUGAAGACUUAGUACAAGA